rnacentral:rRNA from 1 species
GGACGAACGCUGGCGGCGUGCUUAACACAUGCAAGUCGGACGGAAAGGCCCUGCUUUUGUGGGGUGCUCGAGUGGCGAACGGGUGAGUAACACGUGAGUAACCUGCCCUUGACUUUGGGAUAACUUCAGGAAACUGGGGCUAAUACCGGAUAGGAGCUCCUGCUGCAUGGUGGGGGUUGGAAAGUUUCGGCGGUUGGGGAUGGACUCGCGGCUUAUCAGCUUGUUGGUGGGGUAGUGGCUUACCAAGGCUUUGACGGGUAGCCGGCCUGAGAGGGUGACCGGCCACAUUGGGACUGAGAUACGGCCCAGACUCCUACGGGAGGCAGCAGUGGGGAAUAUUGCACAAUGGGCGGAAGCCUGAUGCAGCAACGCCGCGUGCGGGAUGACGGCCUUCGGGUUGUAAACCGCUUUCGCCUGUGACGAAGCGCGAGUGACGGUAAUGGGUAAAGAAGCACCGGCUAACUACGUG